AUGGCGAAGCCCUGGCCGGAGGCUGAACACCAGCAUUCAGCCCGGAGGUCACAGGACCGCGGGGUGGUGGGGGCUGGGGGCACCUCCGGGCCCCUCUGGUGCCACCCGGCUCCAGCAGGGCCACCCAGAGCCCUGCACCACGUCCAGCCGGGUGCGAAGACCCCGAGGAGGAGGCUCCGGCACCUCCUGAGGACCUGUGCCAGGGCUCCGGCACCCGCCCGGCACGGCCGUGCUUCGUGCUGCUCACGGGGAGCCUCCCGGGCUCCAGUUUGUGCCCAGCACCGCUGGGCCUGGCACUGGGCACCGCUGGAAGGAGCCCGGCUCCAUCCCCUCCGCUCCCCAUCCUCCCCCUUGGCUUCAGCAUCACCCUCAGACCUCGAGCCAAAGCCAAACCCUGCCUGCUCUCUGCCGAGGCGCAGGAAGAUGGGGACAAGGCAGAAACCGAGCAGAACCCGCUGCCAGCUCCAGGGACGCUUCGGAGAGGCGCGGCAAGAAGCUGUGCUCGGCCCGUCCGCGAAGGCACGCACCUGCAGCGGGCACCGGCGAUGCUGGCGGCGUCUCCCGCGCCGGGGGGCCGGGGCUCGGCACCGCGUUCGCCUCCCUCUGCAGGAAGGGGCUGCGCAAUUUGCCUGGAAAAGGAGAUGGAGGUGCUGGAGGAAGGGGCUCAGGUACCCCUCGCUCGCCAUCUGCCUGCCACCGGGCUCGCCUCCCCCGGCAGGAUUUUCCAGCUCCGGUCCCUCUUGCAAAAAACGAGUUUGUCGACUGGUUACAGCAGCGCCGCAGCCGAGCGAACAAGAAACCAGCCCCGACGUCGUGUCGGGGAAGCGGAGCAGCUCUGAGGCCGGCAGCGCCGGCUCCCCGGGGAUUUUCCUGCCGCUCUUAUCUCGCCCAUCGGUGCCUCCGAGCGCAAACAAGCACGGGGCCGCGCCACCAAGGUGCGCUCGCGCUCCUUCCGCAAAACCGGGGAACAUGAGUUACUCCGGACUAAUUCGAGUCGUUCUCUGGGGGCUGGGCUGCUGGGGGGGGGAUGUUGGCCUGGGCACAUCACGUGUUUGCAGCGGCUUCCUCGGCUGCAGCCCCAGCUUCGGUUUUCACAACUUCCUGGCUCCUGCCCCGCGGAGCGGCUCGGUCUCGUCGGCUGCGCUCGAGCGCGUGAGCAGCCGGGCGGGACGGCAGGCAGCCAGGCCGGGUUCCUUUCCGGCAUUAGUACGUCUCAUUAAAAAAAAUACGAAGAAAUCUAAAGCUUCCCGGGUACAGUGGGGUAUGGAUACGGCAGUCUCGGUUGUUAACGCUUCCCCCCCGCCCCCGGGAGCCCCCCGGUGCCCACUGCCACGUCCCACCUGGCUGGGCAGCAGCUGCUGUGUCCCCGGGUGCCGACCUCUCCCUCUGCUUGAAGAUGUCCCGGGGGUUCACCGGCCUCUGAGCGAUCAGCGACGCUGCCUCCUGCACAGGAACCAGGGGUUAAGCAGGGGCCGGAGGGGCUGGAAGGGGCAGAGGGGCUGGGAGCAGCCCCCCAGCGCGGGUCCCCCCCAGCAAAGCGCACCUGGGCUUUCUCCACUGACUCGCUCCUCCUGA
ensembl:lncRNA